CCAAGGCCAGCAGUACCGCAGCAGCAUCCCUGCACGUGCAUCCACGCUGAACGAAUGCCCUACUACGAGAACCGCCUGUACGGCCCCGAAGAGAAGCCGCCAUCACCACGGCAGUUGCGACUGCCAGUAGGGUUAGCGUCACCCACGCGUGACGCUCGUGCGGAACAGCGCUUUAUGUCGUCGUACAACGACAGCGACGUGGCGGAGCGGCCCAUGCGACUCAAUCGUCAUAUCCCCUCCCCGAUUCUGUCACCGAUCCCGACGAGCCCCGCGUACUACUCGUACCGCGAAGGGAGGGACCACAGCUCCAACCUCCGAGCAGGCGCCGGCGACGCGCAGCAGCGAAGGUGGAGGGGCGAGCGGGACCCAUCACGGCGUCCUCCGGUGGAGCCCGUAGCGGGCCAUAAUUCAUCCCCGAGGCACCGCACAGCAGAGGACUUCCUCAGCAUCCCACGAGCUGCGUCGUCGCCACGUACGCCGCAGGCCCACGCCGGCUCUGCGCGAAGUCAAGCGUGUGCUGAGGUGGAUCCGGUCACCGAAGAGCAGCAGGGUGCCGAGAAGUGCACAAGUGACGAAGAUCUUGUUGCCUCAAGGCCUCGCCCUGUAGCGGGGGACGCGAGGGAGCGUCCAUCCUCUGGAACGAAGGCGUACCGCAGUGCGGCAGGCGAGGAUGUCGUCAGUGCAGAGCCCGCAGCUCGUACACAACGGGUUGCAAGCGACAGUGUUAGAUCCGCACACGACUCACGUCGCGUGAGGGGUGCGCAUAGACACGAGGAUGAAGACAGCGAAGGCUGCAGCGCGCUCUCGGCUGACCCUGAGAACUGGCGGUCGCGGAAGUCGUUGCCCGCCGGCUGCGUGCGAUGCAACUACCGUCUUCCCGAGGAACUGAUCGAAUACCUGCAGGAGACGUCGAUGUACCGGUCGGUGCCACGCCCCUAUUGCCCGGAAUGCGGCGCUCGACUCGCGCCCGCUGUCAGGGGCACCCGUGGCGACGGUGACGACAGCGUCUAUGACAGUCCACGGUUACCACCGCGUCCCAGCCCACUGCGACGGCGAGAAAGCCGCUCAAAGCCCGUGAGCGUUCCUCAGCAAAACUCCCACGAAAGGCGGAGCAGCUCUUCGGAGUCAAGCGAUACCGAUAUAGACGUGCUGGAUGCCGGCAGCAGCUCCAGCGAUGACCCAAAGCACGAAUCGCAACCGUCGCGGGAAGCGCCGCCGCAGUUCUCCCGCCCCAAGCCCACGGCCGAGAAGUCCGUGCCUCCCCUACCACCUUGUCAUCCUACAACGUCAGUGCCACCGCCCCGCGGCGUACCGCCUGGAGACACCGACUGGACGCCCAGGGAGAAGCCUGUCAUGGUUCUGGCUAAGUCGCCAUACCUCACCCUUGAUUCCUUGCCCUGCAGCCUUGAUUACGUCACGAGAGCGGCGGCGCCGAGCAAUGGCCGGUGUCGAGGCCCGGAAGGCAUCAGCACCCUCAGCCCAGACGGCAUCGCCGCUCCGUGGGUGGUGGGGGGGUGCAUAGCGUGCUGCCGACAGGCCGGCGCCGGUCUCGCGGGAAUUUGUUGCUGCGCCAUGCCCUGCGUCCUCUUCCGCGAACGCCAGCAGCUACUCCUGCACAAACUGCGCAGUCGCUACAUCUGCUGCGCCGGUGCCUUCCCUUGCUGCGUUCCACCGGCGUCGCUGCGUCCGGAGCUGUACUACACGAUAGGGCCCGAUUACCUCUACAGCCCCGCCUUGUACGCUGCGGCUGGUCGAUAUUGGGAUGGUGUCCUCGACGCUAGCACGGCAGUGUCUCAGCAGCGGCACUGGCAUGGCCUAUACACGGCGAGCAAUGAUAAGGGCGAAGGGCGGGUGACCUCAUCAAACCUCGCCGGAGGUGGACGGGCGCCACUUGCCACCUUCCGUUCCGUGAACGGUGUCGCCUCCCCCGCCUCGCUUGUGAGCCCGCGGACGGGCCUUCCACUGGAUGGCUGCUACUCAAACGUGCCUUUCUACCAAAGCGGCAGGCCGUCCACCUGCUGUGCCACCUCGUCGGCGCCCGCUUCAGUGGGCACAGGUUGCUGUGGCUGCAUCAGCUGCGCCUGUGACAGCACGCGUGGUUGCUGUCUCUAUUGCGCGCACCCCACCGCCUACUGUUUGACGUGCCCCCUGUGCUGUCUGUGCUGCGAGAUGACGUGCUGCAUGCCGUGCGCUCUGUGGGCGAACCGGCUCCUGAUCCGCCAGCAUUAUCACCUCGUCCCCGACACGGCCGUCGACGGAGGGGCGGUGUGCUGCUACACGUGCUGUGUGCAGUGCUGCACAUGCUUGUGCACGCGGGCGCACGCCCCGACGAUGGCCAGCGCCGCCAUAGACAAGCGCAUCAGCGGUAUUGCCACGCCUGCAGCAAGCACGGCUGAGGCUGCCGCAUCACCGACGUCCCUUUCGUGCUGGUUUCAGCUGUCCACCACUGUCGCCGCGUGUCUGGCGGCUGUGUGUUGCUUGUGCCCCUGUGCGGCCUGUGGGUUAGCGCAGCAGCGAGAUCAGAUCCAGCGGCUGGGAUACCCGCUUGUCGUUGACGUUCCUCCAGAAAUCGACAUGAUGUAGUAGGACCUUCCCGCACCUCUACCUUUCCCCCUACCUUCGCGCAGGCGCGUCUGGGCGCCUGCAUCGCUUGUACGAUAAGGCAUUGUUUGCCUUUGCUCCCUCCCCCUCCUCUCCCGUCCCCUCCCCUUUUUUCUGUAUCGUCGCCCCGCACACACAUACACACACAUGCAUGCAUGCAUGCCACCCGUGUGCCGGCCGUGUCUCUGUUCUCCGUUCCUCCCUCCCUCCAUCCCUACGUCCGUCCCUCCCUCGUUGUUUUCCCUGACCUUGUCCCUCUCACCCAUUGUCGAUCUGCGCAUCUAUGGGUGAUGGGAGGUACAACGCGGGCGCCAAGCUGGGCGAAUACACAUAUACAAGGCGGGGAAAACGCAGCGAAGUGG
rnacentral:misc_RNA from 1 species